AAACAUAUUUUUUUGUAUUAAUUAAAAAUGAGUCCUGCUCAAUGUGGAAUAAAUGGCCGCAGUAUUUUGACUGUGCAAAGGUAGCAUAAUAAUUAGUCUUGUAAUUUAAGACUGGGAUGAAGGGGUAAACUAGAAGGCUUCUUUCUUAUUUAUUAAUUUUAAAUUUUACUUUUUAGUAAGAAGGCUAAAAUAUUUCUUUUAGACAAGAAGACCCUAUAAAACUUUACAUAGAAGGAUUUAGUAAAUUGAUAAUAUGUUCUGCUGGGGCGGCAAAAAGAGAAACACUUUUAAAUUAUUAAAAAUGUUAUUAUUUAAAUACCCAAAAGUUUUGAAAUUUAAAUAAGUUACUUUAGGGAUAACAGCGUUAUAUACCUUGAAAGCUCAAAUCGACAGGUGUGUUUGCGACCUCGAUGUUGGAUUAAAUUUCCUUCAUUACGCAAGAGUAAUGUAAGGGGGUCUGUUCGACCCAUAAAUGUUUCCAUGAUCUGA
rnacentral:rRNA from 1 species